GGGGCCUUGGCGCCACGGUAGCGCGUUCGACUCCAGCUUACGUAAGCGAUUAUGUAACCAGGAUACAUCGAAAGGUUGCGUGUUCAAAUCACGUAGGCCUCA